GACGAACGCUGGCGGCGUGCUUAACACAUGCAAGUCGAACGGAAAGGCCCUGCUUUUGUGGGGUGCUCGAGUGGCGAACGGGUGAGUAACACGUGAGUAACCUGCCCUUGACUUUGGGAUAACUUCAGGAAACUGGGGCUAAUACCGGAUAGGAGCUCCUGCUGCAUGGUGGGGGUUGGAAAGUUUCGGCGGUUGGGGAUGGACUCGCGGCUUAUCAGCUUGUUGGUGGGGUAGUGGCUUACCAAGGCUUUGACGGGUAGCCGGCCUGAGAGGGUGACCGGCCACAUUGGGACUGAGAUACGGCCCAGACUCCUCCGGGAGGCAGCAGUGGGGAAUAUUGCACAAUGGGCGGAAGCCUGAUGCAGCAACGCCGCGUGCGGGAUGACGCCCUUCGGGUUGUAACCGCUUUCGCCUGUGACGAAGCGUGAGUGACGGUAAUGGGUAAAGAAGCACCGGCUAACUACGUG
rnacentral:rRNA from 1 species